GGAGUCGGCCGGGUGGUCGCGGGCGCGCCCCGGGGCGCGCACGAGGAAAGUCCGGACUCCACAGGGCAGGGAGCUGGGUAACGCCCAGGCGGGGUGACCCGACGGAAAGUGCCACAGAAAGGGAGACCGCCGGCCGGCGCUUGGACGCAUGCGGCGCCGGCAGGCAAGGGUGAAAAGGUGGGGUAAGAGCCCACCAGCAGCCCCGGUGACGGGACUGGCUUGGUAAACCCCUCCCGGAGCAAGGCCAAAUAGGAGCCGAUGCCGUGGCCCGCGGCGCUUGAGGCUCGGGUAGGCCGCUGGAGGCCGCCGGCAACGGCGGUCCUAGAUGGAUGACCACCGCCCGGCUCGUCCCGGGUACAGAAUCCGGCUUACAGGCCGGCUCCCUCA
rnacentral:RNase_P_RNA from 1 species